GAUGAACGCUGGCGGCGUGCCUAAUACAUGCCAGUCGAGCGAACGGACGAGAAGCUUGCUUCUCUGAUGUUAGCGGCGGACGGGGGAGUAACACGUGGAUAACCUACCUAUAAGACUGGGAUAACUUCGUGAAACCGGAGCUAAUACCGGAUAAUAUUUUGAACCGCAUGGUUCAAAAGUGAAAGACGGUCUUGCUGUCACUUAUAGAUGGAUCCGCGCUGCAUUAGCUAGUUGGUAAGGUAACGGCUUACCAAGGCAACGAUGCAUAGCCGACCUGAGAGGGUGAUCGGCCACACUGGAACUGAGACACGGUCCAGACUCCUACGGGAGGCAGCAGUAGGGAAUCUUCCGCAAUGGGCGAAAGCCUGACGGAGCAACGCCGCGUGAGUGAUGAAGGUCUUCGGAUCGUAAAACUCUGUUAUUAGGGAAGAACAUAUGUGUAAGUAACUGUGCACAUCUUGACGGUACCUAAUCAGAAAGCCACGGCUAACUACGUG
rnacentral:rRNA from 1 species